GAACGCACAUUGCGCCUUCUGGUAUUCCGGUAGGCAUGCCUGUCUGAGCGUCAGCAAUAAACCUCGGCCUGUACUUUUGCUAGUUCAGCGCUGGUCUUGGGUUGCGAUUGCCGGGACUUGAUUUACUUCUCGUCUGCUGCGCCCACCCUAAAGUUGCUGUACGACCGCGAGCCCCCCUGCCGGCUGGGUCAAUGGAGUGGUGUUACAAUCUUCCAGAAAAACCUGUCGACCGAACAGCUACGCGGCGUUAAACCUGGCCGUCUCCCCGCUUCCCGCGGGAGACCGAAGUUUUGACCUCAGAUCAGACAAGGAUACCCGCUGAACUUAAG
rnacentral:misc_RNA from 1 species